rnacentral:rRNA from 1 species
GAUGAACGCUGGCGGCGUGCCUAAUACAUGCAAGUCGAACGAAACUUCUUUAUCACCGAGUGCUUGCACUCACCGAUAAAGAGUUGAGUGGCGAACGGGUGAGUAACACGUGGGCAACCUGCCCAAAAGAGGGGGAUAACACUUGGAAACAGGUGCUAAUACCGCAUAACCAUAGUUACCGCAUGGUAACUAUGUAAAAGGUGGCUAUACUACCGCUUUUGGAUGGGCCCGCGGCGCAUUAGCUAGUUGGUAGGGUAAAGGCUUACCAAGGCAAUGAUGCAUAGCCGAAUUGAGAGGUUGAUCGGCCACAUUGGGACUGAGACACGGCCCAAACUCCUACGGGAGGCAGCAGUAGGGAAUCUUCCACAAUGGGCGAAAGCCUGAUGGAGCAACGCCGCGUGGGUGAAGAAGGUCUUCGGAUCGUAAAACCCUGUUGUUAGAGAAGAAAGUGCGUGAGAGUAACUGUUCACGUUUCGACGGUAUCUAACCAGAAAGCCACGGCUAACUACGUG